AGCGAACGCUGGCGGCAGGCUUAACACAUGCAAGUCGAGCGGGCAUAGCAAUAUGUCAGCGGCAGACGGGUGAGUAACGCGUGGGAACGUACCUUUUGGUUCGGAACAACUGAGGGAAACUUCAGCUAAUACCGGAUAAGCCCUUACGGGGAAAGAUUUAUCGCCGAAAGAUCGGCCCGCGUCUGAUUAGCUAGUUGGUGAGGUAAUGGCUCACCAAGGCGACGAUCAGUAGCUGGUCUGAGAGGAUGAUCAGCCACAUUGGGACUGAGACACGGCCCAAACUCCUACGGGAGGCAGCAGUGGGGAAUAUUGGACAAUGGGCGCAAGCCUGAUCCAGCCAUGCCGCGUGAGUGAUGAAGGCCCUAGGGUUGCAAAGCUCUUUUGUGCGGGAAGAUAAUGACGGUACCGCAAGAAUAAGCCCCGGCUAACUUCGUG
rnacentral:rRNA from 1 species